GACGAACGCUGGCGGCGUGCUUAACACAUGCAAGUCGAACGGAAAGGCCUCUUUCGGGGGGUACUCGAGUGGCGAACGGGUGAGUAACACGUGAGUAACCUGCCCUUGACUUUGGGAUAACUUCAGGAAACUGGGGCUAAUACCGGAUAGGAGCUCCUGCUGCAUGGUGGGGGUUGGAAAGUUUCGGCGGUUGGGGAUGGACUCGCGGCUUAUCAGCUUGUUGGUGGGGUAGUGGCUUACCAAGGCUUUGACGGGUAGCCGGCCUGAGAGGGUGACCGGCCACAUUGGGACUGAGAUACGGCCCAGACUCCUACGGGAGGCAGCAGUGGGGAAUAUUGCACAAUGGGUGGAAGCCUGAUGCAGCAACGCCGUGUGCGGGAUGACGGCCUUCGGGUUGUAAACCGCUUUCGCUCAUGACGAAGCUUUGUGUGACGGUAGUGGGUAAAGAAGCACCGACUAACUACGUG
rnacentral:rRNA from 1 species